UGAACGGCUCUCUUUAGAGCCACCUAUUAUUAGAAAUAAAUUAUUU
rfam:Strongyloides venezuelensis genome assembly, scaffold: SVE_scaffold0000100